CUGAGGCUGAGGGCGUACGCUGCGGCGGACAUAUUGGCGAGUUCUACGAUGAUGCAGAAAGGAUGAACACGUCUUGUCGUUGAUACUACACAAUCGUACAAUAAAAUAUUUGCCUUGCCAUGGAGUCCAUGAGUUGUGCAAUGAGUAACGGUGAAAACGAGCGAUAUUUGAGUGUUUAGAUGUUUUCUUGUCUGCACCUAAAAUUUUUCUUUUGUAACACCCUGUAUAUUUGUUUCCAUUUUCCAUCACCUAGAAAAUAGACAAUUUGCUAAUUUCUCUAUCCCGGCAGAACAUUUUGACGUGUAACUUGCUUAUAUGUGCGCGACGAUGCAGGUCGUAAGUUCUGUGCCAAUACGGCGGCAUGAUAUUGUUGACUUGUAAAAUCUAAACUGGUAUUCUAUUGUUAAUAAAGAAAU